GGCAGUCAUCAUGAAGCAGAAUUAUGCUUCAGGAAGCCAGAAAAGGAAGAAGAGAAAGGAAGAGGAGGAUAAGAAAAAACAAGAUAGUGGUGCUUUGCUUAAAUUUCUCAGCCCUCAGGCUCUUCCUAAGGAUACCUCCACUGAUGAAGCUACACCAUCAACUUCAUCCUCAACAUCAACCGAUGCAUCACU